rnacentral:rRNA from 1 species
AUUGAACGCUGGCGGCAUGCCUUACACAUGCAAGUCGAGCGGCAGCGCGGGGGCAACCCUGGCGGCGAGCGGCGAACGGGUGAGUAAUGCAUCGGAACGUGUCCUCUUGUGGGGGAUAACCAGUCGAAAGACUGGCUAAUACCGCAUGAGAUCGAGAGAUGAAAGCGGGGGACCGCAAGGCCUCGCGCGAGAGGAGCGGCCGAUGUCGGAUUAGCAGUUGGCGGGGUAAUGGCCCACCAAGGCGACGAUCCGUAGCUGGUCUGAGAGGACGACCAGCCACACUGGGACUGAGACACGGCCCAGACUCCUACGGGAGGCAGCAGUGGGGAAUUUUGGACAAUGGGCGCAAGCCUGAUCCAGCCAUGCCGCGUGUGUGAAGAAGGCCU